rnacentral:lncRNA from 1 species
CUCCAGUACAGGUAACUAACUAUAAGGGCGCGUUUGGUUCGAGUUAUGUAAUAUUACAGAGCAUUUCGAUAUAUUCAGGUAUCUUAGAUUUCUAAAUGAGAUUACUAUUGAUGUUGUAUAAGCGCGUUUAGUUUAAUACAGUAAUCUAAUGCUGGAUUGCAGUGUUUAUAGUACUAUUAUGUUUGGUUCUGUUUAUAAAAUUGAGUAAUUUAGAGAAUAAAGUAAAAUCUAUUCCAAAAUUGCCCUUAGCCAUAUUUCGCCAAUCUUUUUUUUUUAGUGUUUACAAAUAAUAUUUUUUUACUAAAUUUUAUUUUAAAUAAUUUAAUUUUUUAAAUUUAAAUUUUAAAUUUUAAAUUUGAACAAAAAUAAAAAUUUAUUAUUUUAAUUUAAAAUAUAAAUAUGAAAUUUAUAAAUUUAAAAUCUAAAAUAUAAAUAUAAAAUUAAAAAUCUAAAUUUAAAAUUUAGAAUUUAAACUACAAAUUUGAAAUUUGAAAUUUGAAAUUUAAAAUUUAAAAUUUGAAAUUUAAAAAUUAAAAAUUAAAAUUUGAAAAAUAAUAAUUAAAAUUCAAAAUUUAAAAGUUGACCGUUCAAAAUUUUAAAUUAAUUUUUUUAAAAUGACGUAUUGAAAGGGUUUCGGGAGUUAGAGGGGUAAAAUUGUCAUUUUAUAUAUUAUGCAGUAUUACUGGCUUUCAGUAAUCCAAGAUACACACCCCUCUCUCGAUAAUAUUUUUAGUGUAAUCCUGCAUCUUUGUAAUGCUACAUUAAUGACUCGACUACAUACCAAAUGAACCAAACACGAUAAUUCUGACAGGAUUGCCUGUAAUCUUGCCAGGAUAACUCGAACCAAACGCACACAGAAUUAUCUAUAAUCCUGCCAGGAUAAUCCGAACCAAACGCAUCCUAAACGAAAGCAUAAGCGAAAGCGGGGCCAAACAUACCAUUUAAUUUAUA